UCUAUACUAUGUGAAUCAUCGAAUCUUUGAACGCAGUACGCGCCUCCCGGGGUUAAACUUGGGAGGCAUGCUAGUUUGAGUGUUAUCAACCAACAAUCACCCCAAAGGCUCUGACCGGCCCGACAAAGGUGGAGAAUGAGAGUCACGGCCUUCACCAGCUGUGUCUCUUUAAAAGGAGUGGGGCUCAUUGGCGGCAGCGCUUGUUUUCACAGGCUUGCUCUCUCGAGACUUCUCCCCUGCAGUGUGGUACUGUAUUAAUUUACUUCCAUCGCUCAGGGUAGGCUCGGGUUAGUACGGCAGGUGGAUGCUACGCAAGGGGACUGCACGUCGCGGCUGGCAACAGCUGUGGCACCAGAGAGUUCUAAGCUAGAGACACUAAACCUUUCAGAGAGGUUUAACCUUUUAGCAUAACCUCAAACUAGUAGGGCUACCCGCUGAAUUUAAGCAUAUCAAUAAGCGGAGG
rnacentral:rRNA from 1 species